UAAAACUCCGCCAUCGCAGAUCAUUUCCUUUGUGCCAUAGAGGCAAGCAACUCGUCCCGUGACGCUCUGGUGAUCCGUGAUCUCUCACACGAUUUCCCCCUCCCCCUUCCUCCCUUUCCUUCCUCCCAACACGCACACGCAUCCGCACCCCUUUCAAACAAUCCGUCGCAUCUCGCGUACGAAAGGAGUCUGUGUGGAGUGGCCUCACCCUCUCUCUUCCCCUUCCAGUCUUUAGCUGUUCUUGCCGUUGCUGUUGGUUCCCCCUCCCCUCCCCUCUCUUCCCCUCCUCCCACUCCCUCCUCUCUUCUUCCGGAUCCUUCCUCAUUUUCCCCUCGCCACAAUACCACCCCCACCCCCUUCAAUUCGAUUGUGCGCGCCACCUUCUCUCUCCCCUCCCCCUUCUUCUCUUUUGCAUCUCUUUCUCACCACCCCACCCCACCACCACCACCACCCUGCUCGCACGCAUGUCCAGAUUGCCAAGCACCGCAUCGGACAACGAGCCCGCACAUCUCACGCAAAUGGAGGACGAACGUUACCGCAAGACCCUCAUCGAGGGCUUCAUGAGCGUGCCCGAGGUGGAGGGCGACGAGGGCGCAAGCAAUGGAGACCCCUCCUGCCAGCAGAAGGACCAGAAGGCGCAGGAGUACGUCGAAAUGGACGAUGAUGACGACAGUCAUGUCGUCCGCCUCGCCGCCGGUGAGCUGAAGGAGAACACAAACAUCUACAAGUCCGCCUUCCAUGUCUUCAAGGCAAACGUCGGCACCGGCGUGUUCCUCCUGCCCACCUUCUACCCCGACGCAGGCUACGUUGUCUCUGUGAUUCUCGGCGUCCUCAUCGGCGCCGCCGUCGUGGACUGUACGCGGCUGCUGGUGGACGUGAAGAUCAAGAUCAACCGCAGCGAUGUGACCACCUACUCGCAGGUGUGUCGCUACGUGUGCGGCGCCGGAUUGGGCUGGUUCUUGUUUGUUGCCAUGUGCCUUGCGCAGUUCGGCUUCUGCCUCAUGUACACCCAGCUGUUUGGCGACACCAUGGUUGAGCUCGCCAACUUCAAAGGCUCCAAGUACUUGUGGGUGUCGGUGGUGUUCUUCCUGUGCUUCCCCAUGACCUGCUUCUCCGACAACCUCUCGCUGCUUGCCAUCGCCUCCAUCAUCGCCACCGUCAGCGUCUUCUACUCGCUCAUAUGCUGCUUCGUAAUGUCGCUCUUGCAGCUCAGCCAGGAUGGUGUUCACCCGGGCUGCGACGUCGCCGGCAACCGCAUCCCCGUGGGCUGGUUCAACAACCUUGCCAACAACAUGAUGGUGCUGGAGGGCAUCGCCAUUAUCCUGCCCGUGCACGCCGCCUGCACGCAGAAGCGGCUGGUGCCCAAGAUGGCGACCUUGGUCAUCACCGGCGUCAUUGCUUGGUACAUACUGUUUGGUCUGACCGGCUACCUCGCCUACGGUAACUCCAUGACCACCUCGCUGGUGGCCAAGAUGGCGCACUCGCCGUGGGGUACAAGCGUGCGCGUGUUCUUUGCGUUGAACCUCGUCUUCACCUACCCGGUGCAGUUCAUGUCAGCAAUGCAGCUGAUUGACCAGACGGUGAGGUGCAAACCGCGUAGCUGGAUGGGUAUUGGUCUUCGUCUGCUCAUCAAUCUUGUGAUCUGGGCUCUGGCCAUGGGGAUGCCGACCUCGGCUGUCAACACCGUCGUCGCGUUCGUCGGCGCGCUGCCGUCGGUGUGCAUGGUCAUGAUCAUCCCAUCGAUCCUCUCCAUGCAUGUGAAGUACGCCGUGGAGCACCCCGAUGCGGACCGCAACACGUUGCAGUACUGGAAGAAGAUCUUCGUUACGGCGCCGUGCUUUACCUUCAAGCGCAUCCGCUGCUACGUGUACCUUGUCGUGGCAGUGCUCAUCAUGGUCAUCGGCACAUACAGUAUCGCCGAGACUCUAUAGAGGGGGGGGGGAAGGGCGAUCGUGUUUUGAGCCGCCGUCCCCUCCUGAUGUGCGCGUAGAAGUGUGAGUGUGUCAGUGUACGUCUCUGCCCGGCCGUUGCACAGCUCUCGCAUUUCUCCGUUGGUGCACGAAUGUAAGCCCCUUGAUGACGAGGGGGGGCGCGCACACGCGCCGCCAUGCACGGUAUCCCCCAGGGUCCAGUGGGCCCCACUCUGUUUGGGGUGGAAGCCAAGCAGCCCCCUCCCCCUCUCCUCCAUCCCCUGCCAAUGCCGAGCCGCCUCUGCUGGCGACGUGGUCACGUGCCUACGGCGUGGGGAGGUCGAAGCGAUGCACCGCUACCGCUGUGUCGGCGCACAUGUCCCGGACAUGGUGGCGGCGCGGCGGCCUGCGGCAGCGAGCACACCUCUACGCCGUCCCUCUGACAGGCGAAAUGCCGGCGCAAUUCGAACGCAUCCCAUCCGGCCAUCACUGCCUGCUGGCGGGGAGCCUGUGCGUUGCCCUGAGGGGGUGCACCAGGUGGUGGCCGGCACAAUAUGGGUGCCGGCGGUGAGGCGGGCCUGCGACGCGUGGAGGUCGGGUAGAGCCUGAGGCAGGGGCCGUGCUCAGGUAGCUGGGUCGGCGCACUGCUGUAGCGCGUGUGUGUCUACCGAUACCCCGCGCCACGCGAUGAGGUCUGUGGCAGGGCUGGUCGGGAGGGGGCCGGUUCAGCGUGGCGGUCUGACCCCAUGCUGCGCACCGCAGAGAACGGGCACACCCACGCACGCAAAUGUUAUGGAAUGGGCAUAAACGUACGUAAACUCUCUUCGUAUUUUUUCACUUCGUUGGUGUGCUGUGUAACGCUUUAGUAAAACGGAAAACGCAAGAUCGACGCAUACACACACGCACCGAGAGCGGCAGAGGGACAACGGCAGUAGGGAGCCAUGGCCGUGACACGGGUAGGUGGAAGGCCGUGAGAGGGCUACCAUCUUCGCGUCUUCCGCGCCACGCGCCUAGUGCUCCUCGCCUGAUCUGUGGGCACAUGCAGUCUUUUCUCACGCCUCCACUGGCUUUGUGGCACCCGCCCCCUUCUUCCC
rnacentral:misc_RNA from 1 species